AGCGCAGGCGGACCGGCAAGUUGGAAGUGAAAACUAUGGGCUCAACCCAUAAAUUGCUUUCAAAACUGCUGGCCUUGAGUAGUGCAGAGGUAGGUGGAAUUCCCGGUGUAUCGGUGGAAUGCGUAGAUAUCGGGAGGAACACCAGUGGCGAAGGCGACCUACUGGGCACCAACUGACGCUGAGGCUCGAAAGCAUGGGUAGCAAACA
rnacentral:rRNA from 1 species